GUCUAUGGCCAUGCCGCCCCAAACGAGCCCGAUCUCAUGUGAUCUCAGAAGCUAAGCAAGGUUGGGCCUGGUUAGUACUUGGAUGGGAGACCACCGAGGAAGACCAGGUGCUGUAGGCA
rnacentral:rRNA from 1 species